UAGUCCACGCCGUAAACGAUGAUUACUCGCUGUAGGCGAUACACAGUCUGUGGCUAAGCGAAAGUUUUAAGUAAUCCACCUGGGGAGUACGAUCGCAAGAUUGAAACUCAAAGGAAUUGACGGGGGCCCGCACAAGCGGAGGAACAUGUGGUUUAAUUCGAUGAUACGCGAGGAACCUUACCUGGACUUAAAUGUAGAUUGCAUAGCUUAGAGAUAGGCUUUUCUUCGGACUAUUUACAAGGUGCUGCAUGGUUGUCGUCAGCUCGUGCCGUGAGGUGUUGGGUUAAGUCCCGCAACGAGCGCAACCCCUUUUGUUAGUUGCCAGCACGUAAUGGUGGGGACUCUAGCAAUACUGCCGGCGUAAGCCGAGAGGAAGGUGGGGAUGACGUCAAAUCAUCAUGGCCUUUAUGCCCAGGGCGACACACGUGCUACAAUGGACGGUACAGAGGGUCGCGAAGCCGCGAGGUGGAGCCAAUCUCAGAAAGCCGUUCUCAGUUCGGAUUGGAGUCCG
rnacentral:rRNA from 1 species